GGGUGGACUCCUUCCUGUAGCCCAGGGCUCCGGCUACCUCUCUGGAUAUCGGCUGAGGUCUCGCCUGCAGAGGGAUCGCCACGUCCGUAACAUCCGACCCAACAUCAUUCUCAUCCUCACUGAUGAUCAGGAUAUAGAGCUGGGUGAGGCAUUCCGCUCCAUUAUUCCUUUGUUUGUGCAUCUGUCUCCAUCAGUUUGCUUUCUGUCCAUCGCCCAUGGGUAUGGUUACUCUGUCCAUGUGUAUCCAACAGCAUCAGCAAGGGAAAGUCAACCUAAUCCUGCCUCUUGGAACCAUAACAACUGGCCCACUCAAAGUCAUGUGCUCCCCUUGCCAACUCCUUCAUCGCUGGCAUGAAAUGAGGGCAGCCUAUGGCUUCCAUUGUCUGUGUGCCAAACCCUGGCCAUCUCCCUACCCGCUUAAGUCCUUUAGCGGCGUAUUGGACUGGAGUGGCUGCAUAAUGGCCUCGGUGACAUCCUUUGUCCUCCUCUGAUCGCUAGUGAGAAGAGUCCCAUUGAAAAGCAAGAAUUUAUGGUCAAGCAUCUGUUUCCCCAAACAAUCACCAUCAGACUGAAAAGCUUUUAGUACACAGGAAACCAAAUGGGUUACACUUUACCAAAAAGAUUUAUUCCCUUAUUUACACCCGCCUCCCCUUCUUUUCUCUCUUUUGCCAUAAUGUUUUUGCUCUUACCCCCUCAUGCCCUAUAUUUAUAUUUUUCACCCUCUCUGUUUUCCUCAAUCUCUGCCUCUCUUUUUUUUUCUUCUCCAACUGCUUUAUAUCCCCCUGUGUCCCUUUCAUUUCACUCCUUGGCCUUUGAAUAUCCUCUCACCCUCCUAUCCCUGUGUACAACCCUCCUCCCCCACCCCCCACCUCCUCUCUUUCUCCCACUGUUCUCUCCCAGGCUCAAUGCAGGCCAUGAACAAAACCCGGCACAUCAUGGAGAAGGGUGGCACACACUUCUCCAACGCCUUCUCCACUACACCCAUGUGCUGUCCGUCCCGGUCCUCCAUCCUGACAGGGAAGUAUGUGCACAACCACCACACUUACACCAACAAUGAGAACUGCUCCUCGCCCUCGUGGCAGGCCCAUCACGAGCCUCACACCUUCGCCGUGCACCUCAACAACUCCGGCUACAGGACAGCCUUUUUUGGAAAGUAUCUGAAUGAGUACAAUGGCUCCUAUGUGCCCCCUGGCUGGAAGGAAUGGGUAGCCCUGGUGAAGAAUUCACGCUUCUACAACUACACCCUCUGCCGGAAUGGAGUACGAGAGAAACACAGCAGCGUCUACUCCAAGGACUACCUGACAGACAUCAUCACAAACGACAGCGUCAACUACUUCCGUAUGUCCAAGAGGAUUUACCCUCACCGUCCUGUCAUGAUGGUCCUGAGCCAUGUAGCCCCGCAUGGACCAGAAGACUCUGCCCCGCAGUACAGCACUGCUUUCCCAAAUGCAUCACAGCACAUAACCCCUAGCUACAACCAUGCUCCUAACCUAGACAAACAUUGGAUCCUACGCUACACAGGACCAAUGAAGCCUGUCCACAUGCAGUUCACUAACAUGUUGCAGCGCAGGAGGAUGCAGACUCUGCUGUCUGUGGAUGAUAGUAUGGAGAAGUUGUACAACAUGCUGGUAGAGACUGGUGAACUGGACAACACCUACAUCAUUUACACCUCAGACCACGGAUACCACAUCGGCCAGUUUGGUCUGGUGAAGGGCAAAUCAAUGCCUUACGAGUUUGAUAUCCGUGUUCCCUUCUACAUACGAGGACCUAAUGUGGAGCAAGGGGCCAUUAAUCCUCAUCUAGUGUUAAACAUUGACUUGGCACCGACUCUGCUGGAUAUGGCUGGUGUUGAUAUCCCGGCAGAAAUGGAUGGCAAAUCGAUCCUCAAGCUUCUGGACACAGACAGACCAGUCAACAGAUUCCAGUUAAACAGGAAGGGAAAAACAUGGAGAGAUUCUUUCCUGGUGGAGAGAGGGAAGCUUCCACACAAGAGAGCCGACGGGAAGGAAAUGGCACAGGAGGAGAACUUCCUGCCGAAAUACCAGCGGGUGAAGGACCUGUGCCAGAAGGCAGAGUACCAGACUUCCUGCCAACAGCCAGGACAGAAGUGGCAGUGUGUGGAGGACCCGACUGGCAAGCUGAGGCUGUAUAAGUGCAAGGGCAUGGCUAGUCUCUAUGCCCCACGUAUGCAGGCUUUGAUGGCCAGCGGUGGCUCCCAGCUGUUCCUCACACCCAACUCCGACAGCUGUGACUGUGGAGACGUGGGCUUGAAAACAUCAGUCCUGAAACGAAAGAGGCUGCUCACCAAGAAGAAUUCCUCUGUCUCGUCUUAUUCAGAGAUGAAAUCCAGUAAGACUGUGUCUAGGAAGCGCUGGGCUCGCUCGGUGUCAUUUGAGCUAGAUGGAGACCUGUACGCUGUGGACCUGGAGGAGGGCUACCAGCCCCUGGGCUCCAGGAACAGCAGCUGGGCCAAAGACAGGAAGAGAGGAGCAGGGAAUGAGGAGGACAAUGACGAGUUCAGUGGCAUGGGGGUCACAGCCAAACCCACCAUCAGCAACAUGCUCACACCGCCUCCUGCUCUCAAGGUCACCUACAGGUGCUCCAUUCUUAUGAAUGACACAGUAAAGUGUGAUGGAGGCCUCUACAAAUCUCUUCAGGCAUGGAAAGACCACAAACUGCACAUUGAGCAUGAGAUUGAAACCUUGCAAACCAAAAUCAAGAACCUGCGUGAGGUCAAAGGUCACCUGAAAAAGGUGCGGCCAGAGGAAUGUCAGUGUGACACUCCCAGGAAUUUACUUAAGGAUAAAGAGAUUUUCAAGCUCAAUGCAGGACGCAUGUAUUCACUCAGGAUGCCAUCGAAGCAGAAGACUCAGUGGCUGCAGAAGGAGCAGAAGCGCAGGAAGAAAUUGCGUAAAUUCCUUAAAAGGCUUCAGAACAAUGACACAUGCAGCAUGCCGGGCCUCACCUGCUUCACCCAUGACAACCAUCACUGGCAGACCGCCCCCUUCUGGACAAUGGGUCCAUUCUGUGCAUGCACCAGUGCCAACAACAACACCUACUGGUGCCUGAGGACCAUCAAUGACACGCACAACUUCCUGUUCUGUGAAUUUGCUACCGGUUUCCUGGAGUAUUUUGACAUCAACACUGACCCAUACCAGCUGAUAAAUGCUGUCAGCAGCCUCGACCGCAAUGCUCUGAAUUCAAUGCAUCAGCAGCUCAUGGACUUACGAGGCUGCAAGGGACACAAGCAAUGCAACCCGGAGAAGGGAGGAAAAGAGCGAAACUACUUCAGUGAAUACAGGUAUUUUCUUCUCCCUCUUGCAACACAGCUGAUUACUUUUACAAACACUGCAGAUGGAAUUCAUGUCAUAAUAUGAACUCAGGGAGAUUGCAGCCUGCAUAGCGUGUCUUUGGUUGUGCUUCUGCUUGUUGCGAGUGAUCUGGGGAGUCGAGGGAAAUAAAAUACAGUGAUCUUGUGCUGAAAUUGAAUCUCUUCAAGCUGAGACAGUUCUUUACUGUUGUGAUCAAAGCAUUUUUAGCAUGCAGAAGCAGAAGCCAAUGAGGGCCAAAAUGCAAGCCUUCUUCUGCUGUUCCCUUUUUUGUAAUGAAGCCUAAUUGCUUGUCUCUGCUGUGCGUGUGGGGGUGUAUGUGUGUGCGCAUGCAUGUAUGCGUGUGCGUGUGUGUGUGUGUGUGUGUUUGUGUGCGUGCGUGUUUGUGUACGUGUGUAUGUGUGUGUUUUUUGUGUAUUUACCUGUGUGUCUCCAUGCACGUGCAUUUGCCCUGCGCGUGUAUACGUGCUGUGCAUGCUUCAGGCCAGUUCAUCGUCGAAAGAGGCCAAAAGUGAAGAAGCCUUCCUCCAAAUCGCUAGGGCAGAUUUGGGAAGGCUGGGUUGGUUAACCACCUGCAACCCACAACCGACCACACUGGCCUCCUCCAGCAAAGGAGGGAGAAGGGGGAGUGAAGGUGAACCCAAGGACCUUGACCGCACUUUGAUGGACCAUAACCUGAGAUUGUACUGUACUGUACUCUGAUCUGGGGUUUUAAUUUUUUUAAGAGAACUACUCUUUGUAGCUCUCAUCUGGACAGAGGAGACACUGACUGAGAGGAAGUUAAAGAAUCUCCAAUUGUCAAUUUUACCUUCGCACACAUUUCGUACUCAUUUACAUCCUUGCUGUCAAGACCGAUAACACCAGGAUGCUGUGAUUCAGAUGGGACAGUUUGGUAUUCACAAACUUUUCAGUCUCACAGUACUGCUUGUAGAUAAUAUAUAUCAGCUUUAAUCAGCUUUCUCUCAUCAUAUGGGACUGGAUGGAAACAUGAGUUGUCAACCCUGCUGCUACACAACAAUAUCAUUGGUGCCACUGCUUGCCCUCAUGAUGUCUCUGUGGCACAUGCUGAUAACCUCAAUCAUAUCGUUUGGAAUAUGAUUGCUGGCAUUAACAACAGACAUUUCUUUUUCUUUUUCUGCACCAAUGUGUCUGCACAUGGAAGUGGUUUGGACUUUAUGACGACCAACUGUAACAGACUUUUCGCCAUAAUCUUUUGUAUUAUAGUUGAUCUUAACGCUGAUGAAUGUCCUUAACGAAGUGGCAUUUGCCUCAAAGCUGUGAAAUGUGAGGUGAUUUUAGAUUUUUUGCCUGCCCUGAUCCAACCCCUCCACAGUGUCAGCCACAACUGGAACAGGCCUACACUAACCACUGACUGUCUCACAAUGGUACCAUCCAAACCUCCAAAAUAUUUGACCACUGGCAGAAUGCGUCAUUAGUGAAUGCCAUUUUUCUCCUUUGUAUUGUCAAUACCACACUGUAGAAGUAUCCAAAUAGUUUGUUCAGCUUGCUAUACAUGGUGCUACAGGAUAACAAUACAGAAAUAAAAUCUUGCUGUACAGUAUGUAUUUGAAUGUAUGUUGUGCAAUUAAUAUAAAUGUUUACAAUAUUUUUUAUAAUACUGAAGAGGCAGACCUCAUUGUAUGAUAUGAGUUGAUAAAGUGACGUUAUAGGGAGAAAUGUAGACUGAGAAAUUUCAUUGCCCACAAUUUGUUUGUUGGUCCUCUCCUUAUUUACAUUGGAAAAGCACUUAAAGGGUUCACUGUGAAGAGAUGCGCCAUGUACAUUUAAUGGAUAUAUAGUUUACUCUGUGCCAGAGGAACAACACAACAAUGUAAUACCUAUUGAUGUGCAUUUUAGCAACCUGCCUUUGUUAGCUUCUUUGAUUUUCUUUAGCAGAUAUUUCCAUAGACCUGAGUGCUGAUAGUAAUUGUGAAUAAAGUGUUGUUUGACCAUG